rnacentral:rRNA from 1 species
GACGAACGCUGGCGGCGUGCCUAAUACAUGCAAGUAGAACGCUGAAGGAGGAGCUUGCUUCUCUGGAUGAGUUGCGAACGGGUGAGUAACGCGUAGGUAACCUGCCUGGUAGCGGGGGAUAACUAUUGGAAACGAUAGCUAAUACCGCAUAAUAGUAGAUGUUGCAUGACAUUUGCUUAAAAGGUGCAAUUGUAUCACUACCAGAUGGAGCUGCGUUGUAUUAGCUAGUUGGUGAGGUAACGGCUCACCAAGGCGACGAUACAUAGCCGACCUGGGAGGGGGAUCGGCCACACUGGGACUGGGACACGGCCCAGACUCCUACGGGAGGCAGCAGUAGGGAAUCUUCGGCAAUUGACGGAAGUCUGACCGAGCAACGCCGCGUGAGUGAAGAAGGUUUUCGGAUCGUAAAGCUCUGUUGUAAGAGAAGAACGAGUGUGAGAGUGGAAAGUUCACACUGUGACGGUAUCUUAUCAGAAAGGGACGGCUAACUACGUG